rnacentral:rRNA from 1 species
GACGAACGCNGGCGGCGUGCCUAAUACAUGCAAGUAGAACGCUGAAGAGAGGAGCUUGCUCUUCUUGGAUGAGUUGCGAACGGGUGAGCAACGCGUAGGUAACCUGCCUGGUAGCGGGGGAUAACUAUUGGAAACGAUAGCUAAUACCGCAUAAAAUUGAUUAUUGCAUGAUAAUUAAUUGAAAGAUGCAAUUGCAUCACUACCAGAUGGACCUGCGUUGUAUUAGCUAGUUGGUGAGGUAACGGCUCACCAAGGCGACGAUACAUAGCCGACCUGAGAGGGUGAUCGGCCACACUGGGACUGAGACACGGCCCAGACUCCUACGGGAGGCAGCAGUAGGGAAUCUUCGGCAAUGGGGGGAACCCUGACCGAGCAACGCCGCGUGAGUGAAGAAGGUUUUCGGAUCGUAAAGCUCUGUUGUAAGAGAAGAACGGGUGUGAGAGNGGAAAGUUCACACNGNGACGGU